rnacentral:lncRNA from 1 species
GAAGGAGGAGACUGAUAAUCACUUCAUAUUAUCUGCUGCAGACAUUUGACACUGUCAGUUUUGGCCACCUCUCCAUGCUAUAACAUCCAGCAGAAACCCCGGAGUCAUCUUAUCAGCCUACUCUGCAUUUUUCAUCAUCUGAAAGAGCUGCAAGUAAUGCUUAGUCUACGAACUCUAUGCAUGCGUGUGCAUUUUCCAUCUUCAGUGUAGCAGCUGGAAAGAAAUGUUCCAUGUACUGAUAUUUGUCUGUUUGGGCUUUCAGAGGAACGUGCAAAAAC